CGGCGAGGUCGAGCGAGAGCGUGCAAGUCGGGUACCCGAAAGAGGUGAACUAUGCCUGAGGAGGUUGAAGCCAGAGGAAACUCUGGUGGAGGACCGUAGCGAUUCUGACGUGCAAAUCGAUCGUCAAAUUUGGGUAUAGGGGCGAAAGACUAAUCGAACCGUCUAGUAGCUGGUUCCCUUCGAAGUUUCCCUCAGGAUAGCUGGCGCUCUGUCGCAGUUUUAUCUGGUAAAGCGAAUGAUUAGAGGUCUUGGGGGCGAAACGCCCUCAACCUAUUCUCAAACUUUAAAUUGGUAAGAAGCCCGACUCGCUCGUUUGGAGCCGGGCAUGGAAUGCGAGUGCCAAGUGGGCCACUCUUGGUAAGCAGGACUGGCGAUGCGGGAUGAACCGAACGCCGGGUUAAGGCGCCCGACGCGACGCUCAUCAGAGCCCACAAAAGGUGUUGGUUGAUAUAGACAGCAGGACGGUGGCCAUGGAAGUCGGAAACCGCUAAGGAGUGUGUAACAACUCACCUGCCGAAUCAAUCAGCCCUGAAAAUGGAUGGCGCUGGAGCGUCGGGCCUAUACCCGGCCGUCGCGGCGGUACGAGCAUCGAGUUGGUGCGCUAGGCCGCGACGAGUAGGAGGGCCGCGGCGGCGGGCGUAGAAGCCUAGGGCGCGAGCCCGGGUGGAGCAGCCGUCGGUGCAGAUUUUGGUGGUAGUAGAAUA
rnacentral:ncRNA from 1 species